GACGAGGGAUCCUAGCGUUGUUCGGAAUCAUUGGGCGUAAAGCGUAUGUAGGUGGCGAUGUAAGUUGGGUGUGAAAUCCCUGGGCUUAACCCAGGACGUGCAUUCAAAACUGCGUUGCUUGAAUAUGGGAGAGGGUAGUGGAAUUCCUGGUGUAGUGGUGAAAUACGUAGAUAUCAGGAGGAACACCGGUGGCGAAGGCGGCUACCUGGCCCAAUAUUGACACUGAGAUACGAAAGCGUGGGGAUCAAACAGG
rnacentral:rRNA from 1 species